AGACACUAUACCACCAACAGGUAAGACGAGACACUAUACCACCAACAGGUAAGACGAGACACUAUAGCCACCAACAGGUAAGACGAGACACUAUAGCCACCAACAGGUAAAGCAUCAUGCAGUCUACCACCACCAGAUGAAAGGCUUGGUGGGUCAAAUCGGCCCCAGUUCUCAUAGGCCCCAGUUCUCAUAGACCCCAGUUCUCAUAGACCCCAGUUCUCAUAGGCCCCAGUUCUCAUAGACCCCAGUUCUCAUAGACCCCAGUUCUCAUAGGCCCCAGUUCUCAUAGACCCCAGUUCUCAUAGGCCCCAGUUCUCAUAGACCCCAGUUCUCAUAGGCCCCAGUUCUCAUAGACCCCAGUUCUCACAGGUCCCAAAUCUCAUACUGGGUGCCCCUUGAGGUGAUAUAACUCACGCCUUCAUUAGGUAUUGUGGUUAUCUGUGGUCAGUGUUGUAGCAGAUUAAAACCCUUAUUUUCCUCACCC